UACGUAGGGUGCAAGCGUUAAUCGGAAUACUGGGCGUAAAGCGUGCGCAGGCGGUUAUGCAAGACAGAUGUGAAAUCCCCGGGCUCAACCUGGGAACUGCAUUUGUGACUGCAUGACUCGAGUACGGCAGAGGGGGAUGGAAUUCCGCGUGUAGCAGUGAAAUGCGUAGAUAUGCGGAGGAACACCGAUGGCGAAGGCAAUCCCCUGGGCCUGUACUGACGCUCAUGCACGAAGCGUGGGAGCGA
rnacentral:rRNA from 1 species